GCGCCCAUAGCUUAAUGGAUAGAGCAUCUGACUACGGAUCAGAAGGUUGGGGGUUCAAGUCCCUCUGGGCGCG
rnacentral:tRNA from 1 species